rnacentral:rRNA from 1 species
AUUGAACGCUGGCGGCGUGCUUAACACAUGCAAGUCGUGCGGUAACAGGCGUAGCAAUACGUGCUGACGAGCGGCGAACGGGUGCGUAAUACAUGGGAAUCUGCCCUUUAGUGGGGAAUAACCCGGCGAAAGCCGGGCUAAUGCCGCAUAAGAUCUUCGGAUGAAAGCGGGGGAUCGUAAGACCUCGCGCUGAUGGAUGAGCCCAUGUCGGAUUAGCUAGNGGUGAGGUAACGGCUCACCAAGGCGACGAUCCGUAGCUGGUCUGAGAGGACGGCCAGCCACACUGGGACUGAGACACGGCCCAGACUCCUACGGGAGGCAGCAGGUGGGGAAUAUUGGACAAUGGGGAAACCCUGAUCCAGCGACGCCGCGUGU